rnacentral:ncRNA from 1 species
AUAAAUUCAAUGAUACAAGGAUAAUAAUUCAUCCAAUCAUUAUGAUAAGCGAACUUACAAAUGGUGAAAGGUAAGUAUAAUGAGGUUGAACGAAUGGGCUUGUGGAGAAGCUUUAGCAAACACCUACGGUAAGUAGUUAAAGACGAUAGCUUUCGUUAAAGAGCAGACAUAUUAAUAUCUUAAAUGAUAGCGUAUGUUGAAUAAAUGAAGAGAAAUAAUUUUUUUAUUUCUAAACAUAGGGUGGCACCACGAUAACUCGUCCCUUAC